rnacentral:rRNA from 1 species
GAUGAACGCUAGCGGCAGGCUUAAUACAUGCAAGUCGUGGGGCAGCAUGUUCCGUAGCAAUACGGAAUGAUGGCGACCGGCAAACGGGUGCGGAACACGUACACAACCUUCCUUUAAGUGGGGAAUAGCCCGGGGAAACCCGGAUUAAUACCCCGUAACAUAAUGAAGUGGCAUCACUUUAUUAUAAAAGCUCCGGCGCUUUGAGAUGGGUGUGCGACUGAUUAGGCAGUUGGCGGGGUAACGGCCCACCAAACCUACGAUCAGUAACUG